UACCCGGGGAUCCCGAUAACCUGGUUGAUCCUGCCAGUAGUCAUAUGCUUGUCUCAAAGAUUAAGCCAUGCAUGUCUAAGUAUAAGCCCUCGUACGGCGAAACUGCGAAUGGCUCAUUAAAACAGUUAUCGUUUAUUUGGUAAUCACUCACUACAUGGAUACCUGUAGUAAUUCUAGGGCUAAUACAUGCGUAAAGGCCCGACUUAUUGGGAAGGCUGCAUUUAUUAGAUACAAGAACCAGCCUGGAGUUCGCUCCGGAACCUUUGGUGAAUCAUAAUAACUAAGCGAAUCGCACAGGCUUGCCUGGCGAUAGAUCUUUCAAGUUUCUGACCUAUCAGCUAUCGACGGUAGGGUAUUGGCCUACCGUGGCUAUGACGGGUAACGGAGAAUUAGGGUUCGAUUCCGGAGAGGGAGCCUGGGAAACGGCUACCACAUCUAAGGAUGGCAGCAGGCGCGCAAAUUACCCAAUCCUGAUUCAGGGAGGUAGCGACAAGAAAUAACGAUAGUGGGCUCGUUCGAGUCCGCGCAUCGGAAUGAGGAUAAUUUACACCCCUUCUCGAGGAUCCAUUGGAGGGCAAGCCUGGUGCCAGCAGCCGCGGUAAUUCCAGCUCCAAUAGCGUAUACUAAAGUUGUUGCAGUUAAAAAGCUCGUAGUCGAAUGAAGGUUUCUUGAAUUGCGCGGACUUCUAAGUGUAACUUAGAUUGGUUUGUGCACAAGAACCUCCCUUAUGUGUCUUUUUAGAUCCAAAUUUUUUGUUGGAUCUAAAAAGACACAUGCAUUACUGUGAACAAAAUAGAGUGUUCAUGGCAGGUCAAUUUAGGCUUGAAUACCUCAGCAUGGAAUAAUAGAAUAGGACUUCUGGUUCUAUUUUGUUGGUUUUUGGAGCCGAAGUAAUGAUUAAUAGGGAUAGUUGGGGGCACUCGUACUCCGUUGUCAGAGGUGAAAUUCUAGGAUUGACGGAAGACGAACAACUGCGAAAGCAUCUGCCAAGGAUGUUUCAUUGAUCAAG
rnacentral:rRNA from 1 species